UAAGCAAGGUAUUAUAAAAAAGAUAUUAUAACACUUUGUAACCUAGUAUUCAGAAGACUAAAAAAAUGUGUAGUCAACAUAAAUGAUCAAAAAAUACAAAAAUUUGUUGUCCUACGGUCUCUUUUUUGUAACAUUCUAUAUAAUAUGUUUUACAAAAAAAUAACACACUUUGAUAUAAAAUAUAAUCAAAAUUUUACAAAAAUACAAGCAUUUACACAUAAACCCAUAAGAACCUUAUUAAAUAGUACUACAAGUAUAAUUAAGCCAUAUACAUCAUCAUUAAUAAUAAUUUUAAAUUGAUAUUUCUCAAAAUAAAAAGCAAUUACGAAACCGAUUCGACAGACAGGUAAAACAUUAAAACAUUGACUGGUUUAAAUCAUUGAUGUAUGUUUUUAUAGAGGAAAUCUAAAAUUUUACAAAACUGUCACCAUCCAGUCAAACAGAUCGAAAUUCGAAAAAAAAUGUUAAUAGAGGACUAAAUAUUACUGGAUAUAGUGUUGUUGGUUGUUACAAAAACUUACUCCAUGCUGAGUGCUAAGUAACCGAUGGGUACAUGUUGCUGACAAUAAAAAUGAUGAAAUAUUAUCAAUGUUACACGCCUGAUUUUUUGGUUCUACCAAUAUUUUUAAUUUCACUAUCCUGUGUUUGUCCAAAUCAAACAGAGCCACUGCGAGAAAA